rnacentral:lncRNA from 1 species
AGUAGUUUUCUUCUGAAAGAAGAGCAUUUUAUAAUGGAAAACAUUCUUUGUUCUUUCUUGGGAAUCUGUUUUGAAUCUUUAUUCUUGCCUUUCCCCUCCCCAAAUUUGUCUUUCUUGCCACUCUCCUUUAUCUUCCUCUUGUCUCACUUCUUCCUCUCAUUUCAACACAUCUUUUCAUCAUUAGGUUGAUUUGUUUAUCCACUGGGGAAGUAUGAAAAUUUGCAUACUGGCAAGAGAAGGAGUCUUUUCCCACAAUACAGAAAGACUGGAAACAUUGAACUUCCAUUUUGCCCCCAUGCAGGUUGUGAGGAAAAAAAAAAGAAAGAAAGAUACAGAGAGAAAGAAAAGAAAAGUUCUCAUUCCUAGAUAAAUCUGAACAACCUGAUAUGGACCCAAACGGUACAGUAGAGGAAUAUUGUCGCCCUUUAAAGUUGGAAUGGUUGCAACUGGCUGCUUGUAAGAUUGUGUUUUUUCUGACCGUGGAAUUAUUGGCAUGCCUUUCCAGAACAUCCUGUGUGCAGCUGAGAAGAAUGUGUAUUCUGAUGUUGUGGGGUGAAACACUCUGUGGACAUCUACUAAAAUUAAGAGGGAGAAUGGAGUGGAACAGAGAAGACUUGAAAGAGGAGGAAGAAGGACUUUUGAUGGGGGCUGGUCUCAUUCAUGGUAUGUUAAAUCCAUGUGUACCCCAAACUGUUCCCAUUCACUACAGACAGGUUCUAAAGCUAAAUACACAACAAUGG